UUAAUCUUAAGUUGAACUGCAUUAUCUGGAUUGGAGCAUGCCCGCACCGGAUCCAAAUUUCCAACUUAUUUAGGUAAUUAACUCAAAGGUUAUCCCAAUUUCCCAAAACAAGACAUGAAAGGCAGUGGAUAAACAAGACAUGAAAUGCAGUGGAUAAUGGUGUUCCCAGAAGAUUGAAAGAAAAAGAGGCAGAAAAGGGCACUUCCUCUGAGUGAAGAAGUCAUUGGACUUCCACAAACAUCAUCAUUCUUCCGCAAGACCGCUCCUUCAUCUGCGUGUCUGGUUUGUCUCUUUUCUGUUUGAUGUAAUGCCCCACCGAGGUGUUAGAAGCAAAGCUCUUUUAAGACAAUUUUUAUUGAAUUUACGCCUGCCAUUUGUGAAUGAGGUUACGUUCAAUAGUAAUGAUAAUGCAUUUCGCUACUUACAAUGGCGAUUGAUGACUACCAGCAAAAGGGUUCAAGAGAGGAGCAAGAGAAAACGUGUCCAUGAUCUUGAGGUGGCUCUGGAAAAGCACAAAGUACUGUCCAAGAUUCUAUUUUUCUUUGAAAUUUUAAAGCAAGAGCCUGAACAAAUCGUGCCCAUUAAAAGUUUAGAUAGGUACAGAAGGCAAAUUAACCUCCCUAAACCCCAUAAACUAUCAGCUUUUCUUCGGAAAUCGCCUAAGCUUUUCGAGCUGUACAAGGAUCAGAGAGGGGUCUUGUGGUGUGGGAUGACGAAAAUGGCUGAGGAAUUAGUGGAGGAAGAGGGAAGAAUUAUUGAGGAGAAUAGCGAUAAGGCUGCUGAAUAUGUUACUAGGAUGUUGAUGAUGUCAGUAGAUAAACGACUUCCAUUGGAGAAGAUUGCACAUUUUAGGAGGGAUAUAGGGUUGCCAGUGGAUUUUAGGAGCCGUUGGGUGCAUAGAUAUCCUGAAAAUUUUAGAGUCGUGCGGCCGUAUAAACCGUAUGAUGAGGGGGAAUAUUUGGAACUUGUUGAGUGGAAGUCUAGUUGGGCAAUAACAGAAUUGGAGAAGAAGUCAGGGAUGGUUGAGGGUUUGAGUGGUGGCGAUCACGUUCCAGGGCUGCUUUCGCUGUCGUUUCCUAUGAAGUUUCCUCCUAAUUAUAAAAAGGUCUUGUCACGAUAUUAUCCACAAAUUGGGAAUUUUCAGAAGAGAGAAUAUUUGUCUCCGUAUGCAGAUGCUAGAGAUCUGAAAGCUGGCUCACAAGAAUUUGAUAAGAGGGCUGUGGCAGUAAUGCAUGAGCUACUGAGUUUUACAACUGAAAAGAGGGUGGUAACUGAUCAUUUGACACACUUUAGAAGAGAAUUUGUGAUGCCUCAAAAGUUGAUGCGAUUGUUGCUGAAGCAUUUUGGUAUCUUUUAUGUUUCGGAGAGGGGGAGGAGGUUUAGUGUCUUUCUCAAUGAGGCCUAUGAAGGUUCAGAAUUGAUAGAAAAGCAUCCCUUGGUUGUUUGGAGGGAAAAAGUCGAUAGACUUAUAGAUUACAGAAAGAAAAAGAAGAGAAUUGGGACUGUUGAAGUUUUACAUGAUAUAGAUGAUAAGGACCUGUUUGAGAGUGAGUCUGAGAAUGACAGUAUCUUGUUGGAUCAUGAACAGGAGGAGACCAUGGGUAAUCUAGAGGAUGCUUCACCUGCGGACAGUUCAGAGAUGGAGAUUGAAGAGAUUUAUGCGGCAUACCAGGACUGAAACUUCACAAGUUUAUAGGAAUUGUUCACUCAGGAACUUUAAGUUUGUUAAAAUGAUGAAAUGACCGUGAAUGGAGAACAGUCAACUGCAUUAUUCAAUGCUACUCUCUUUGCAGAAAACUAUAGCAUAAAAUAACAAGUGCUGUUUUGUGCAUAAAAGUUGCCACUUUGCUUGCCUGCACUUACUAAAGCAUAUGGUGUGGACUAUUUUCUGGUAAUGUUUAUUCUUCUAUCACUCUAGUAGUAAUUGGAGGAGCUUGCAGUGGCAAGGUGUUAUGUAGUCUGUGUAGGAAUGCAUAAAAGUACUGGAAGUGUGCAGACGCUUGCUUUACUGUUCGAAAUGUCUAACUUUUUGACUCAGAGAUAAUUUCUAACCAAGUGACUUGUUAUGUCCAGAUAUAUAUGAACUUUUGUCGAAUUAGGAUGCAUCUAACCCCAAGAAAGACAUCUUCUUUGCAAACAGGAGCUUAUAUUAAGAUACAGUUAUUUGAUAAAUGCUGUUAUGGAUUGGUUUUCUUUAAUUUCUUUUUUCAUCUCCAGGAACAGGUUUUUUUUACAUCAUUAAUCGGAAAUCACUUUGAUGUCACAGAAUGAUUUCUUUGAACAAUUUUAUAUGCUUAAGCUGCCCUUUUGCUUACCCAUGCAAUUUCAACAUUUCCUCCCCUUCCUUGCCCUACACCAAAUUAUUUUGUUAAUUAAGAGAGAGGGAUAUGAAUAUUCUAUCUCAUCUGUUACUCUUUUCUUAUCUGACUUGGAAAGCAUGAGCACCCAAAAGUAUCUACCCUUGGACCUGAUUGUCACGAGUCAUUCAUCUGUUCCACUUUCUUGUCGUGUGAUUGCAAUAGAUUCUGCUGCCUGUUUUCCUGGAUUUCCAAAUGGGUGUGUGCUGGCAGAGGAGUUGUGUGUGCGAUAGUUUCUCCAGGAUAUAUACUCACGUGGAGUAUAGUCUUGUUUUUGUAUCUCUGUAAUAGUACUAAACGGUGAAAUUUCCAGGGUAAAGUGCUGAAUCCACGAGAGGAGACUAUAUGGUGCAGGGUAUGAGGCGCACAGGACUUCAAAAGGCAAUUUUGUUGCAAGUUGCCGACUCAGGCUGCGAAAUUACUCACCUCAGCUUUAAUAUGUUACCAUUUAGCUCCGUCCUUGGGUCUUAAUUGGCCUCCAGCUUUUGUCACUUUUAGCACAGAAGUCCGUAGGGAAGAGAAUCUCGGCAGUUUUGGUUGGUGUCCAGGAGUCCAAACUAGAAGUACACAUUGCAAAUCCUCAAAACAAUCCCCCCCCCCCCCCCCCCCAAGAAACCCCCAACCCGCACGCGCACACAUACACACACAACCACCACAAAAACCGUAGACGAAGAAAUAGAUGGCGCAGUGUUUUCAAUUUCUGGCUCUGGAGAGUGUGUGGGUUGCAUAGAGAUUUAUUAUUUUGCUUGUCAUUAAUGGCUUUGACCUUGAGAGUAGACGUCAACGGAGUGGGGAUUCAACCGAAUCGACUCAAGGCCUCCAUAUUUUCUUGGGCCUUGUUCUGUGUGUAUUAAUUCUUUUAAGUAACCUAUUAAUCCUAUGAAUCACAACAAUAUCGUAGUAGGAGGAUGACGCACACUUUGUAUUGGUUAAAGCAACUCGGUGAGUUUGGGUCCG